UGGGGAAUCUUGCGCAAUGGACGAAAGUCUGACGCAGCGACGCCGCGAGAGCGAUGAAGGCCUUCGGGUUGUAAAGCUCUGUGGGGAGAGACGAAUAAGGUGCAGCUAAUACCUGCAUCCAUGACGGUAUCUCCUUAGCAAGCACCGGCUAACUCUGUGCCAGCAGCCGCGGUAAGACAGAGGGUGCAAACGUUGUUCGGAAUUACUGGGCGUAAAGCGCGUGUAGGCGGCGGCGUGUGUCGGGCGUGAAAUCCCAUGGCUCAACCAUGGAAGUGCACCCGAAACUGCGCAGCUAGAGUCCUGGAGAGGAAGGUGGAAUGCUUGGUGUAGAGGUGAAAUUCGUAGAUAUCAAGCGGAACACCGGUGGCGAAGGCGGCCUUCUGGACAGUGACUGACGCUGAGACGCGAAAGCGUGGGGAGCAAAC
rnacentral:rRNA from 1 species